UGAGCGUCUGUGAUGGACCAGCUGUGCGUGUGUCGUCAUCACGCACGACGCGUGGAAAAGAAAGGGGGGCAGCUCCGCAUGCAAAAUGUCUGGAAGGAGGGCUGUUUGGCUGUGCAGACCCAGCUGUUUGGAGAGAGGUCCAUCAGAAAUACUGGGAUGUGGUGGAGCUUAAGUCUUCAGUGAAGGGCAGAAACUAGGGGAAGCUGUUGUCAGUGGAUAAAUGCUGAGCUAUUUAAACCAUCUAACGAGUCUGUUAAAACAGCAAUGGACUGUAUAACCAUAUUGACAGCGGGAGAGGGGGCUGCAAGUGACUCCUUUGUCUCCUCUCAGUCAGGAAUGGACUCCUUACCUGGUGGAGCGGUGUCUCUGGACCUGGGCUGUGGCUGAGAAGCUCCAGCCGUCAUUACUGGAGGGCAUCGCUGCAGGAGAGAAGGGAGGAGGGGAGUCUGAGAGGAGUGGGAGAGCUGCCAAGAGACAGAAAACCAAGUAACCAAAAAUGACCCACCACUGGCUGUACUGCAGAGUCUCAGCUGAGGUGUUUUCCCUUGAAUGGACAACCUUUUGAGCGCAUUUCGUGGAAGCUCCACAAGUUUAAGUUCUGACCGAAGACCUGUACCAGUGUUUUUUUUGGGGGGCACUGCAUUUUAUGUUUGGGGGGGACGGAAGAAUGGAAAUGAAUCCUUAAAUGAUUAGCCUCUUCUUCCUCACCAAAACAAAUGCAACCCUAACUGGACCCUAGACACUCACUUUAUAUAUAUAAUGGCCUUGAUCAUGAAUAUUAAUACUGUCCACUCCUAUGAGCUCAUCAUGCAUUUGCAUCUUCCAUAUGUCCACAUAUAAUUAGGGUUUUUUUGUGUCCUUCCCCAGUAAUCAAGUGUAAUCAAGAUGCUACAAUCAACAUUUGGUUGUGCCUUGCAUGUUUUACUGAAUUAGUCGAUGCAGUUCCACAUAAUCCCAGCAGAUGGGGCUGUAUUAAAAGCCGUACAGUGAUUUAGUAAAAUCGCAUGCUUGCAGACGAGGGUCCCUUCCUUAGAACUGUCAUGAUGGAGCACUGGGAUGAUUUCAUUUUUUUUUUUUGCAUCAGUUGCACCAUUUUAUUUUUCUAAACGUAAAUGUAAAAUGAAAAAGAUAAAUGUUUCAAAAUGAGAUUCCGUAUAAACAUCUUAUUUUGCUGUGAA